rnacentral:rRNA from 1 species
UACGGAGGGUGCGAGCGUUGUCCGGAAUCAUUGGGCGUAAAGGGCUCGUAGGCGGUCUGUUGCGUCGGGAGUGAAAACUUACAGCUUAACUGUGAGCGUGCUUUCGAUACGGGCAGACUUGAGGCAUUCAGGGGAGAACGGAAUUCCUGGUGUAGCGGUGAAAUGCGCAGAUAUCAGGAGGAACACCGGUGGCGAAGGCGGUUCUCUGGGAAUGUCCUGACGCUGAGGAGCGAAAGUGUGGGGAGCGAACAGG